rnacentral:rRNA from 1 species
GACGAACGCUGGCGGCGUGCCUAAUACAUGCAAGUAGGACGCAGUUGCGAACGGGUGAGUAACGCGUAGGUAACUACCUAUUAGAGGGGGCUAACUAUUGGAAACGAUAGCUAAUACCGCAUACUAGUAGAUGGCCCUGCGUUGUAUUAGCUAGUAGGUAGGGUAAUGGCCUACCUAGGCAACGAUACAUAGCCGACCGGAGAGAGUGAUCGGCCACACUGGGGCGGAGACACGGCCCAGACUCCUACGGAAGGCAGCAGUAGGGAAUCGUCGGCAAUGGGGGGAACCCUGACCGAGCAACGCCGCGUGAGUGAAGAAGGUUUUCGGAUCGUAAGGCUAUGUUGUUAAGGAAGCAGUACGUAACCAGAAAGGGACGGCUAACUACGUGCCAGCAGACGCGGUAAUUC